rnacentral:rRNA from 1 species
GCAGUGGGGAAUCUUGCGCAAUGGGCGAAAGCCUGACGCAGCAACGCCGCGUGAGCGAAGAAGGCCUUCGGGUUGUAAAGCUCUGUCAGGGGGAAAGAAGGCACCUGGGUUAAUAGCCCAAGGGUUGACGGUACCCCCAGAGGAAGCCACGGCUAACUACGUGCCAGCAGCCGCGGUAAUACGUAGGUGGCAAGCGUUGUCCGGAAUCAUUGGGCGUAAAGAGCGCGUAGGUGGCUUGUCAGGUCCGAUGUGAAAACCUGGGGCUCAACUCCAGGCCUGCAUCGGAAACCGGCUUGCUAGAGUCUGGGAGAGGAGAGUGGAAUUCCUGGUGUAGCGGUGAAAUGCGUAGAUAUCAGGAGGAACACCGGUAGCGAAGGCGGCUCUCUGGAACAGUACUGACGCUGAGGCGCGAAAGCUAGGGGAGCGAACAGGAUUAGAUACCCUAGUAGUCC